GAGGCGACCAGUUUCUGAUGUCAACACCAUUGCUUACCUUUGAGGUCUCUUUAAUGUAUUGUUAUUUUGGCCAGUGGGAAUCACUGCUGCUGGCGAAAGCAUGGGGCUUCCUGGAGGAGGAGACCUGGUGACCCACAGGCUGUCUGAAAUGGUCUGAAAAUGAGCAGAAGUUAGGCCGAUGUACUACUUUAGACUGAGGAAGCGAGAUGAAGAGCCAAUUGUUUUCUGCAUCGAGUUUGUAAGAUGUAAACAAAUCUUGCUGCUGAUUGAAAAAGAGAACAACUAUUGCGACCGUCCUCAAAAGGAGGAGUCAGAUUACUGCCCAGUCUAAAGCAGCCACAUGCUGACAAGCCCUGUCUGCUGAGGCAGCUCUUCAGAUGUCUGGGGAAUGGAGACUGAUGGUCCCAGCAGGGGAGAGACUGUGUUGACUUCGGAUGUCUCCAGAAACAGGGAUGCCAUGGUUUGGAUUGGAUGGAUGUCAUGCACAGUUCCAAAGGAACAGCGCCAGUGUCUCCAGGCUGAAAACUCUGAAAUGGUGACGAGAAGCCCAGGCUCUUCUCAGAUGGUUUGUCACAGAGCAGGGAAGCGGACACAGCACCAACGAUGACAGGGUGAAGCUUCCGGACUGUGAAAUGUCUCGAAGAAAACCUUUUGCACCUGCAGAGCAGACAGUGGUGUGGGUCACAGCAGUAUCCCCUCCCCAGGGGUUUAUACUCUGGGGUUCCACUGCCCCACGCUCCAUUGUGAUCCGUAAAUGUUAAAUGGAAAAAUAGAAAAUUCAUAAGUUUU
ensembl:lincRNA 1700029J03Rik RIKEN cDNA 1700029J03 gene